rnacentral:misc_RNA from 1 species
GAAAUGCGAUAAGUAAUGUGAAUUGCAGAAUUCCGUGAAUCAUCGAAUCUUUGAACGCACAUUGCGCCCUCUGGCAUUCCGGGGGGCAUGCCUGUCCGAGCGUCAUUACGCACCCUCAAGCCCGGCGUGUGUGAUGGGCCCUGGCGUCUCGUUCGCGAGACGGGCCCGAAAGGCAGCGGCGGCGUCGACCCGAUGAGCCCGAGCGUAUGGGUACUUUUGUCACACGUUUGCGGUGCGGACCGGCGCCUGCUUGACUUUUCUGAUUAUCCAGGUUGACCUCGGAUCAGGUAGGGAUACCCGCUGAACUUAAGC